rnacentral:rRNA from 1 species
UACGUAGGUGGCAAGCGUUGUCCGGAUUUACUGGGCGUAAAGGGCGUGUAGGCGGUUAGGUAAGUGGAACGUGAAAUCCCUCGGCUCACCCGAGGACCUGCGUCCCAAACUGCCUAGCUUGAGUAUGGGAGAGGAUGAGGGAAUUCCUGGUGUAGCGGUGAAAUGCGUAGAGAUCAGGAGGAACACCCGUGGCGAAGGCGGCCGACUGGGUCGGUCCUGACGCUGAGGCGCGAAAGCGUGGGGAGCGAACGGG